CACGCCCUGAGCCGAAGGCAGACGCUUAAGGACUGAGCCACCCAGGCGCCCCGAUUCCCUGUAUAUGUUAAUAACCAAGAUCCACAUCGUGGAGGGUCUGAAGAGAUCCUGAGAUCAAAGACUGGAGAACCAUCCGUCUGGAAGAACAUAAAUUACAAUCUGGAGGUAAUGCCAACUUGAUCUCUUCAAAGGUAGGAUUCCAAAGCCACAAAUUGUUGGUCCAUUCACCAGUUGAUGGGCAUAUCGGUCAUUUCCAGUUUUCAUUUCUUCUGGAUAGAUACCUAGGUGACUCAUCUUUCUACCACGUAAGAGUCCAGCAGCAGGCAGAGCCCAAAAGCCUCCUGAAUGAGCCGACUUUGAAAUGGCCCCAGUCCUCCAGACUGUCCAAGCCCGGCUGUUUUGCC